rnacentral:rRNA from 1 species
ACGGGGUGCAGCAGGCGCGAAAACUUUGCAAUGUGCGAAAGCACGACAAGGUUAAUCCGAGUGAUUUGUGCUAAACGAAUCUUUUGUUAGUCCUAGAACCACUAACGAAUAAGGGGUGGGCAAGUUCUGGUGUCAGCCGCCGCGGUAAAACCAGCACCUCAAGUGGUCAGGAUGAUUAUUGGGCCUAAAGCAUCCGUAGCCGGCUCUGUAAGUUUUCGGUUAAAUCUGUACGCUUAACGUACAGGCUGCCGGGAAUACUGCAGAGCUAGGGAGUGGGAGAGGUAGACGGUACUCGGUAGGAAGGGGUAAAAUCCUUUGAUCUAUUGAUGACCACCUGUGGCGAAGGCGGUCUACCAGAACACGUCCGACGGUGAGGGAUGAAAGCUGGGGGAGCAAACCGGAUUAGAUACCCGGGUAGUCCCAGCUGUAAACUAUGCAAACUCAGUGAUGCAUUGACUUGUGGUCAAUGCAGUGCUGCAGGGAAGCCGUUAAGUUUGCCGCCUGG